AUUGAACGCUAGCGGCAGGCCUAACACAUGCAAGUCGAACGAGUGGCGGACGGGUGAGUAAUAUCUGGGAAACUGCCCGAUGGAGGGGGAUAACUACUGGAAACGGUAGCUAAUACCGCAUACCAUCAGAUCUUCCCAGAUGGGAUUAGCUAGUGGGUGGGGUAAAGGCUCACCAAGGCGACGAUCCCUAGCUGGUCUGAGAGGAGGACCAGCAACACUGGAACGGAGACACGGUCCAGAAUCCUACGGGAGGCAGCAGUGGUGAAUAUUGCACAAUGGGCGAAAGCCUGAUGCAGCCAUGCCGCGUGUAUGAAGAAGGCCUUCGGGUUGUAAAGUACUUUCAGCGGGGAGGCGUUAGCCGCAGAAGAAGCACCGGCUAACUCCGUGCCAGCAGCCGCGGUAAUUC
rnacentral:rRNA from 1 species